AUGAAAAAAAUGAUGGUUCGUUGGAGUAGGCUGCAAGGCCCAAGUGGCCUAGGAGUGCAGCGGCCCGUUAUCCUUCCACCGUUGGAAGUGGGCAGUUGUCGCUGCUCUGUGAAGCCAGCCUCACGCUGUGCCUGCCACAUUAUGGGCGGGCCAACAGUAGCACACCCAGACCAGGCCCGCAACGCUAUAACAGCGUUCACAUCACUUUAA
rnacentral:rRNA from 1 species